UGAGGAAUAUUGCGCAAUGGGCGAAAGCCUGAUCCAGCCAUGCCGCGUGAGUGAAGAAGGCCUUCGGGUUGUAAAGCUCUUUUAGUCGGAAAGAAAAGAUCAUAAUGAACAAUUAUGAUUCAUGACGGUACCGACAGAAAAAGCACCGGCUAACUACGUGCCAGCAGCCGCGGUAAUACGUAGGGUGCGAGCGUUAAUCGGAAUUACUGGGCGUAAAGGGUGCGCAGGCGGUCUUGCAAGUCAGAUGUGAAAGCCCCGGGCUUAACCUGGGAAUUGCGUUUGAAACUACAAGGCUAGAGUGCAGCAGAGGGGAGUGGAAUUCCAUGUGUAGCAGUGAAAUGCGUAGAGAUGUGGAAGAACACCGAUGGCGAAGGCAGCUCCCUGGGUUGACACUGACGCUCAUGCACGAAAGCGUGGGGAGCAAACA
rnacentral:rRNA from 1 species